rnacentral:lncRNA from 1 species
CAAAGAUGUUAAACAGCACCAGUCCCAAUGCCAGCCCCUGAGGAACACCCCUUGCCACUGGCCUUUACCUGACCGUGAACAAGAAUUUAGAAAAACAUUUGGGAAAAGCUUUUCCACUUCUCAAAUAAGUAUGAAUAUUUACCAGGGUGCCUAGAGGGCAUGGCAAACUGAAGACCAGAUUUCUUGCUCCUUUCUGAAAACAUGUUUUCCUGCAAAAUAAUAGUGAAGAAGGGAGAGGAAGAGAGACAUGAGGCAAACAGCAAUAAAAAAAAUGUGAAUGGAAGGAUGUGUACACAAACUUUCCGUCUAAGUGGUGGGAGAGCACUCUUCCUGAAGUGUACAUUUUCUCAUAAUAAACCCAGCUCCAAUAUCUUUAUUGCUCAUCUCCUUUUUAAUCUUAUUAACAAUAAAGCCUAAAAAUGUUUUGAAGAAGUCAAAUAAAGGGUGUUCUCUUUUUUUUUCUGAACA